rnacentral:rRNA from 1 species
GAUCAUUGGGCUCUAAAAUAUGCACACAUCGCCCGUCGCUCUCAGGGUAAAUUGAGAUAAGUCGUAACAUAGUAGAUGUAUUGGAAAAUGUAUCUAGAAAGUCA